GGCUUUGGAGUGUCAUCACGUGAGGUUGCAAGCCUCAAAAAGCGGGCUAAUCCCUGUCAAGGCUU
rnacentral:tRNA from 1 species